rnacentral:rRNA from 1 species
AGUGAACGCUGGCGGUAGGCCUAACACAUGCAAGUCGAACGGCAGCACAGUAAGAGCUUGCUCUUACGGGUGGCGAGUGGCGGACGGGUGAGGAAUACAUCGGAAUCUACUUUUUCGUGGGGGAUAACGUAGGGAAACUUACGCUAAUACCGCAUACGACCUACGGGUGAAAGCAGGGGAUCUUCGGACCUUGCGCGAUUGAAUGAGCCGAUGUCGGAUUAGCUAGUUGGCGGGGUAAAGGCCCACCAAGGCGACGAUCCGUAGCUGGUCUGAGAGGAUGAUCAGCCACACUGGAACUGAGACACGGUCCAGACUCCUACGGGAGGCAGCAGUGGGGAAUAUUGGACAAUGGGAGCAAGCCUGAUCCAGCCAUACCGCGUGGGUGAAGAAGGCAUUCGGGUUGUAAAGCCCUUUUGUUGGGAAAGAAAAGCAGCAGGUUAAUACCCCGCUGUUCUGACGGUACCCAAAGAAUAAGCACCGGCUAACUUCGUG